UCCUUUCCACGAAGACGUCGCGUCUCGUCGCGUCAUAAUUCUCGUAGAAGAGACUUGAUUAUCGAGGAAGAGCGGUCGGUGUCGCGCGAUUUUGUCUGGUCGCCAAAUCCAGCGAGUAAGUAGGCAUCACAGUCUUUCGCAACGAAGCAAUACGUUUUUGGUCGGUGAUGCAAUUUCAUUGCUAAUUACGUCACUUUUCAUGUAUAUGUAUUUUUGAAAAUACCUGGACGAGUAAAGACCGGUAGUUCAGACGGCCCACGAGUGUUUUACGAUCGAUUUUAUUGAAUGGCAUAGAUCAACGAACGAGAGACCUUGCAUUCUUUGUGAAGUUCAAAAUCGUCAAUAAAUGGCCGACCGUAAUUCGAUGAAGAGGAAGAGGAAUUGCUUAAAAUGUGAAACUUAGAAGGUGGCUGGCUGGCUGGCUGGUUGCCUCCGGGAUCUUGGAGCAGCGUAUUUUCAAGCAAACAUUGCGACAGAGUGGAGCCAUUCGACUUUACAAACUUUGCAUUUACAUAAAACCAAAGUAAAGCUGGCCGACUGUAUUAAGUUCAAGAUCACCAGGAAUCCUCGAGGCACCGAAUCCCUACGCGCUGCGUCACGAUCAAGAAUAUCGUUAACAUCUCUUCCACGAGUGUCCUUAGAGUUAAACGAUAUUCAAAUUCAAAACAGACCGCGGCGGUCGUUGUGGCUAUACAUAUAUACAAACGAGCACGUUUCUUUGAACUCUCCUGUAACCUUCUUUCAUGAUGGGUAGUUUUUACCGAUCGAAGAAUCAUCGGCUAUUGGUCAACAAUUUUAAGUUUCUAGUCAAAAUGAUUCGAAGCGCGUCGACAUUAUUUAUCGUCUAAGUUUCAAGGCUAUAUAUCUAUAAAUUGGAAAAUGACCGAUCAAUGAAUAUUUUUACAAAGUGCUCAUUGUCGCAACGUUCAUUUCUAAAUGUACGAGACAUCAAAUAUUGAUCGCUAGUGACAUCUAAACUCUUCUACGUUGUCUAGACAGAACGGUUUGGAUAUGCGACUGCGAAUUUCGGAGCAGUCUAUUUCUCUCCCUCACACACACGAUUGUUCACACGAAUGAACGAACGAACAGAAGGCACGAUAUACACCGAUGAAACCACCUGUACAAAUCGGUGAACGUGGAGCGGUAUCUCGUUGCGGUAGUGGGCAGUGAAUGGCUGUCGCACGCGGAGCAAUUGCUCGCUCGAAGAAGAAUUCAAGAGGAGUUCUCGCAUUUUCCACAUGGCACACGACCUAAUUCGUCCAUCUUACGAAUACGCACAGAGGGAUUUCUAAAUAUAAUUUCCACGGGUUAACGGUCGAUCCGUUUUAAGUUUAAGUCGGACGAUGUUUUACGACGGUGGUUUAUGAACGGUACGAAAAUUAUCCAACCGCUUCCGUCAGUGUCACUGCGUCAGAUGGUACAGUAGCUCGUAAAAGAAGCGGAUUUCACGGUGCAACAUUUGAGAAAAAGUACCGUAUUCGGUUCGAUUUUAUCGAUCGACCGAUAACAGAGGACCCGAUACACAAAGAAUUUAGCCUUGGCCUACUGUUUCACCGAGUUCGGGACACGAACCAACGAAUCACCGUCGCAAAAGUCAAGCGUGAGUGUUGAUAGUCCGUUGCACAACGGUAGAAACGUGCCCACGAUGUUCUUUCCCGGCUGGCGGCUUUAAUGGAGCGAUUCGUACCGUUUGUGAAUCGUGAUUAACACAAUUCGGUAUGCUCGACAUUAUGUCCUGUUUUUCAGCCAGCUGAUGGAUCGCGCCUCGAGGCCACUUGACCUACAUUAUUUUUCGCAACGAGGCUCACCUUUUUGUCAUAUCGUUCCUAUACUUCCCUGGAGAUUUGCUGCAACCAUUUAAACGAGAGCACGCGAGAAACGAGAAGACAAGAAGAAGUUACGUAAUGCUUUUCUAAGCUGAAAGAAGAACUAAAAUCUUAUAUUGGGUCGGUGGAAAUUUGUCCAAAGAAAAAGUUCGAAAAAUAAUUCUGUAGGGAGUUAACUGUACAGAAUUGUGUAGUGAAUACGCUCUGUUUCAUCGCAACAUAACGUAAUCAUACGUUGGAAAAUAAAGAUUCGAUUGGAUGAUUCUCCUUUGACCGUCUCGAUUACAUGGAAGUCGUCCGCGCAGGGGUAGGGAGUGGAAUUUCUCAUCGAGCGGGCUACCGAAGUCCAUGCCGCGGGAGAAAGUUUCGGCAUCGACAGAAAUUACGCACCGUUGAAAUAAUCGUUCGUCCGUGCAAAUACUUAGUCGUCCCCCGUCUAACGAACUUUGUUCAAGUGCAAUUACAAUCGUGAGACGUGAUUGAAUGUCUAGAUAUUCAUCGUCGAAAAAUUGAAUGGAAACCUCGAAUAUGGGUCUAUAGGGCGUUUUAGCGAAAAUUGAAUUAACAAUAUAGUUUUAUAACCUUUGUCAAUCGUUCUAGUAUACACAGGUUGUAGUUAUUUCGUUGGAAGGGAAUGACGUAAGAAGCACGUUAGGUGUUUGAAAUUUAUCGAACAGUGUAACUUAAAAACCGUUUUUUCCAAUAAUGUACUAAACGCGCUUUAGAGAUUUCCAUUCAAUCGCUCGACGAAAUACGACCGAGAUGAUUCCUCUACGAUGUUCGAAAUUUUACAAACGUUAUAUUCAAGCGAGAAUUCGGUUUGCUUAAAAGCUUGUGCUUUUCGAAGAAUUUUACGUAAUUAAAAGUAGAUAAACGAAGAAACGGUGAUCAAAGUAAGAAACGAUAGCCGCGAAAUGUCGACUCGACUCGUUUAAUUCCGCCUUUCUAGUUGCCUAAUUCUCGAUCAAACGAAGGAUUCCCGUGGAUUUACUUUGUUUCUGUGGUGAACGGAGCGUAACGGUCCAAGGGGAAAGACAGAGAAAGACAGAGAAAGAGAAGAAAAACGAAGAAUUUUACGCACUCUUCGAUUCCGUGGUCCGAGGAAUAUGUCGAAGGUCUCGUUGUGGAGAAAUAUCUGCAGAUACACGAGGAGAAUAUUGAAAGAAUCGACACCAACGAUCGACCUAGCACGCGCACGAUAGAUCGCGCGUGAUUCACUGGUGGAACUUUAUCGUAUAAAAUUAUAAUACUUCUUAAAAUUAUAUUUUACAAAAAUCCAAAGAAUUCUUUUAUUUGUACUCAGAGCCACGUUUCGGAUUAUACAGUAUAUAUAUAACACUUUCUCGCGUGUUUCAUAUCGUUUCAACGAGUGGUUGAUGCAAUGCAAAAGAGUCCCGUCUUGACGUUAUGUGUAAUUAGUAUAAUUGAAUGUGUUGAACGUUCGUUUCUACGGAGACCAUCAGUCGCGGCUCCAAUAGAUCGUGAUUUCCGUGGAAUUCCAUAAAGAUUUACAUACGUAGAACAUAGAAAUCAUGCGUAAACCCAUCGUCAUCGUACACUUUCUUUCCCCAGCGGAAAAGUUCCGUCGAAAUUCUAUUCACCUUGCUCCUUGGUUUUUCCAUUGUUCCGAUAAUGAUAUCGGCUUUUACUUGUAUACGACACUCGGAAGUGAAAAUCAAAGUUAAACCGGUUGCAAGGAUGCCAGACAAGAGAGAGGGGGGGGGAAGAGAGAGGAAGAGAGAGAGAGAGAGAGAGAGAGAGUCAGACAAACAGACAGACAGACAGACAAAGAGAGAGAUCCGACUGACCCUCACAAACUUCCAUUUCCAUGUUCAUUAACGUCAGCCUUAUUUCCAUCGUCGUUGAACGAAUCAGUUGACGCUGCUCUCGCAGACCUCGAUACGACGAAUUAGAGAGAUUUCGUUCAAAACCUCCCUGUGGAAGUUAACGCGAGUCGAGAACUCACGUCAAGUGACUUCCACUCGCGUGUAAACAAAAUUACGCAAAUCGAUCUAGGAUAAAUGUGCCUAUCGGAUUUCGUGACGCUUUCGUUUUUAUAAAUGUCGAAACGUCCUCUAUUGUCACGAAAUUGGUCAAUACCAUUCUACUCCUUAUCGACUUUCCCUCCUUCGAUUUUCCUAGCGAUUUACAACACAUACGUGCACGAGGCAACAUCGCGGGCAAGUUUCUCGCAACAAUCUCGCCGGUUUCAGCGAAUACAUGAUUUAUUUCGUAAUGAAUGCACGCGUGACUUUUUGGAAUAUCUCUGUUGGAUGUACCACGCUGAUUUUGUAUUCUUUAGAUCGUUAAUGUUACCGGACCUGUCCUUGUUCGACUGGAAAACGAUACUUAUUUGUUACGUGGUUAAAACUAUUGCUAUGAAGCAGGAUGACUAUAAUAGACAAUAGUUAACUUCGAUAAUUGAGAGAACUUCGUUUUAUGAAACUGAUCGUACAGAUUAAUCUUACUGUGAAAUUGUUAUACCUGCUCAUAAUUUGGAUUUGCUAUAAAUUAAUUGGGAUUAAUUAAUGCUUGUAUUGUUUAACACUGUUCUUAAAUAAGAAAUCAACGAUGUACUUAUGCGAUGUGCUAAUUGAAGUUUCGUUAGAUAUCCGCAUACAAACGAGCGUAUCUGAUGAUCAUAAAAGAUAUUAUACCUUAAGGAGUUACUAAGGUCACGAAUCUCUGAUAUUCAGUAAUUAAAACAUUCAAUUGAGGUUCAUUUGAAAAUUUCCAUCUACUCGCUAUGUAUAUAGGGAUUCAAGGAGGUAUUUGAAUACCUACUAUAGGAAAUUUCUUUGUAUAUAUUAUGUGUGUUAUAAAAAACUAUAUACUUGCACUAGAGAUCUUUAGCAUCUAUGUAAGUCAAAAAUGUUUUGUCUAACAUGCAUAGUAUAUUAAUAAACAGUUUCUGUUAGUGUUCAAAUACUAUAUGAGCUACUGUAUAUUUUGUCUUCCUGUAUAUAAAAAUUUCCAAAGUAACACAGUGUUAACGUUAACUUUGUGAAAAGCAUAAUUCCGUUUAACUACCUUGUUACACUGUAUAACUAAACGUCACUGACAAUGAGUAUGUAUAUAUUUAUUUGAAUCAAAACACGUGCACCUAACCGAUCUGAACCAUUUCAUCGAAAUCGUCCAAUGGGUUGUCCGCUGUAAGGGGCUCGAUUCAUGCGCAAAGUUGCUGCGCAGCAUCGAUUCCACGAGACGGGAGCACGCUUAGAUCAUGAUGCCUUGAAUACACCGGUAAUCUGAAUAAUCAGCUGAUCGAAGGAAAUG
rnacentral:lncRNA from 1 species